rnacentral:rRNA from 1 species
GACGAAGGAUGCAAGCGUUUAUCCGGAUUCAUUGGGUUUAAAGGGAGCGUAGGUGGACUUGUAAGUCAGUGGUGAAAUCUUUGGGCUUAACCCAGAAACUGCCAUUGAUACUGCAGGUCUAGAGUACAGUUGCCGUUGGCGGAAUAUGACAUGUAGUGGUGAAAUACUUAGAUAUGUCAUAGAACACCGAUUGCGAAGGCAGCUAACGAAGCUGUAACUGACACUGAGGCUCGAAAGUGCGGGGAUCAAACAGG